UGCAUUUAUUAUUUUAAAAAUGUGUAUUCCUCUAAUCAAGAGAGCCAAAUUAACAUAUUAGAAAUCAAAUAAAUAGUAUGUAUGAACUAAUAUUUGGUAAGUAGGAUCGAAUAUCUUCGCAUUGUAGGUAAUAUUUUCCAUUGCUUGUUUCUUUUUAUUGUUUCACACCUGAAAAGCACAGAUGAGUAAUGUAAGAACAAAAGUGUACUUAAUCUGAAAAAAAAAAAGAGGAAGCUGCAGUUAUCACUUAAUGAAGAAUGUAUAAGGUUUUUCUCUGUCAAAUACCCCAUAUCCAGAAAUAUUAAUUGACAUUCUUCCUGCAAUCCAUGAAAUGAAUCAAAAGAGUGAGAGACACGAAAUGUAAAACUUUUUUGCAAAGAUUCUGUGGCUUGAUAGUUUUGGCCCUUUGAAGUGAAGAUGUUAACUUUGUGCAAAUCUUCUAUAAAAAUGGGUAAGAGUAAUUAGUAUAACACAAAUAAAAAUUCAGACACCGAAAAAGUAGAGGUAUCAGUCAAACGUAGUGGAAAUUAUAGAUGAAGAAAGCAUAGGUUGGAUUACAAGAAGCUAAUAAGAGAGAUUACAUAUCUGCAAAAGUGGUUGUUGGUUGGGUUGAGGGUAACUUCACGUAGAAGUUAGGGUAGGCACGGAGCUUUUCUGUCUCAGAUAUUCAAACUCAGAGUGAGUCACAGUGGAUAUCUCCAAUAGCCAGCCAUAGGAAGGAUGAACAUUUAACAAAAAAAAGGAAGAUAAACAUAACUUCAUAAGAAAACAAAACAUUGCUCUCACCACUAAUCAACUUUUUUUUUUAAAUUCUCGAAC
rnacentral:lncRNA from 1 species